UAGGGAAUCUUCCACAAUGGACGCAAGUCUGAUGGAGCAACGCCGCGUGAGUGAAGAAGGUCUUCGGAUCGUAAAACUCUGUUGUAAGAGAAGAACGUGUGUGAGAGUGGAAAGUUCACACAGUGACGGUAACUUACCAGAAAGGGACGGCUAACUACGUGCCGG
rnacentral:rRNA from 1 species